rnacentral:ncRNA from 1 species
CCCAAGGUUUCCUCCGCAAGGUUCGUCCACGGAGGGUGAGUCAGGGCCUAAGAUCAGGCCGAAAGGCGUAGUCGAUGGACAACAGGUCAAUAUUCCUGUACUACCCCUUGUUGGUACGGAGGGACGGAGGAGGCUAGGUUAGCCGAAAGAUGGUUAUAGGUUUAAGGACACAAGGUGACCCUGCUUUUUCAGGGUAAGAAGGGGUAGAGAAAAUGCCUCGAGCCGAGGUCCGAGUACCAAGCGCUGCAGCGCUGAAGUAUGAGCCCCGUGGG